ensembl:lncRNA
AAAAAGUUAUUUUAUUGCCAUCUCUCAAUUGCCAUGUCGUCUGUAUCGGUUUGCUGUUGCAAUAAAUAGUUGUAUUAGAUACAUUUAUCCGUGUAUGACAAGCAGUAUUAUUGUAACCUGUGUGACAUUUAGGUGUUCAUUGUUAAUAUAUGGAAUGUGUGUAUGUAUUUGUACGCACACUGCAUGUCGUAGUAUGGCCUAGCACAUUGUCUUAGAAAAUACAUAUAAUAUUUAAAACUAUUUUCAUUUCAUAUAACGGGACACCUCACCUAACAAGCAAAAUUCCCGGAGAUAGAGGAACCUCAGCUAUGAAGAGUUGGCGGCCAACAAAAUCGAGACUCAUCAGACCAGGCAACAUUCUUCCAGUCUUCAACUGUCCAAUUUUGUCUGCACCAUAGGGUCUGCAAGUAGCUAGCUACCACCAGUCAAGAAUGGAGUUAGACGCACUGAAGUGGGAAAGAGAACUACAACAUGUCAUUCAAUUGAUGCAGUCGAUUACGUAGCAAGCAUGCUGUGGUUGGUGUAAGCAACAUCUGAGCAAAGCGGAGCAAAGCAACCACAGCGUUAUCUGUUUUGAUUGAACACCAAAUCCCAG